UGCCUUAAAUGGUCUGGUCAUACUCGGCCGUGACCAAGAAGGUGUUUUUUCCAGGGUGAGCCCUGUUCAUUGCACUGAUCCCUGUGAGUUUCCCCAAAUGUGGGAAACUUGACUUCACAAUUUUGUGGCAAUAGGGACUGUGUUCAUGCUUACCCCGU
rnacentral:snRNA from 1 species